UCUAAUAUGGCAGAUUAGUGCAAUAAAUUUAAGCUUUAUAUAUAAAGAAUAUUCUUUUAUUAGAA
rnacentral:tRNA from 1 species